UUCUGGGGCGAGCGCCUCCCUGAGCUGGGCUUCCCUGAUUCCUUGCUGAUGACAGAGCCAUUCUCACUGGGCGACCUGCUGGAAGUAACCAUAGCAACAGGGAGAUGGGAAAGUUAUGAAUGAACACAUUUCUGGGGAGAAACUCCAACUCUGCUUUACUCUUUCAUCCACUUAUGAACUUAUGUUUACAUGGAGCCAUCAACCCAAACUUCUGGUCAAAAACAUAAGACCUAUUCUGAGAGGUUAUGCAGGCCACAACCAGCAGGAAUGAGGAGACUGAUGUGGCAAGACGGAAAAGCCAGAAAAAUAAAUGCAACGUGGGUUUGGUUUUGGUUUCAGCAUCUUAAUAUCUUCCCAAAUGAAUUGGACUCCCAUGGU